GACGGAGGGGGCUAGCGUUGUUCGGAAUGACUGGGCGUAAAGGGCGCGUAGGCGGCUUUUUAAGUGAGGCGUGAAAGCCCUGGGCUUAACCCAGGAGGUGCGUUUCAUACUGAAAGGCUUGAGUACGAGAGAGGAAAGUGGAAUUCCUAGUGUAGAGGUGAAAUUCGUAGAUAUUAGGAAGAACACCAGUGGCGAAGGCGGCUUUCUGGCUCGUAACUGACGCUGAGGCGCGAAAGCGUGGGGAGCAAACAGG
rnacentral:rRNA from 1 species